rnacentral:rRNA from 1 species
GACAGAGGCCCCAAGCGUUAGGCGGAAUCACUGGGCUUAAAGCGUGUGUAGGCGGACGCCUAAGUGUCUUGUGAAAUCCCACGGCUCACCCGUGGAACUGCUGGGCAUACUGGGCGUCUUGGGCCAACUAGGGGCAGCCGGAACAAGCGGUGGAGCGGUGAAAUGCGUAGAUAUCGCUUGGAACGCCGAAGGUGAAAAACAGGCUGCUGGGGGUUGUGCCGACGCUGAGACACGAAAGCCAGGGGGAGCGAACGGG